GCGCACGUCGCAUAAUGGCUAUUGCAACUGGCUGCAGCCCAGUUUGUCCAGGUUCGAUUCCUGGCGUGCGCU
rnacentral:tRNA from 1 species